UNCUUGUGAGUAUACAGUUUACAGAAUAAUACUGUAACCUUGUUUAGUAUCAACUCACAUGAUGCACUGCUGUAAUUUGUAGGUUAGUCAUGAGGCUCCGAUAACUGGAGGUUUUGGUGCUGAAAUCUCAGCUUCCAUUGUUGAGCGUUGCUUCUCAAGGUUAGAGGCCCCUGUAGCAAGAAUUUGUGGUUUCGACACUCCUUUUCCUUUGGUUUUUGAACCUUUCUAUAUGCCAACCAAAAAUAAGAUAUUGGAUGCAAUUAAAUCCACUGUGAAGUACUAAUGAACUUAGUCACCAUUUUUUGGUCAUCUAUAAAACCUUGAUACCAUUCAGUGAUGUGAUGCAUUAGUAAAGUGUAACACGGAAGUAGGUGGUUAUACAAAACUGUUAUAUAAAAAUAUCAACAAAAGAACAAUGGGCAUACACUAUGUAGUGCCUUCAAUUUGAAAGGAGUGAUCCCCAUCAGUAAAAGUUUCCUAAUAUAAAUAGAUUUCUCUCUU